CAGUCGCCGCGGUAACACGAAGGGUGCAAGCGUUACUCGGAAUUACUGGGCGUAAAGCGUGCGUAGGUGGUGGUUUAAGUCCGUUGUGAAAGCCCUGGGCUCAACCUGGGAAUUGCAGUGGAUACUGGGUCACUAGAGUGUGGUAGAGGAUAGUGGAAUUUCCGGUGUAGCAGUGAAAUGCGUAGAGAUCGGAAGGAACAUCUGUGGCGAAGGCGACUAUCUGGGCCAACACUGACACUGAGGCACGAAAGCGUGGGGAGCAAACAGGAUUAGAGACCCCGGUAGUCCCUGUCUCUUAUAC
rnacentral:rRNA from 1 species